rnacentral:rRNA from 1 species
UACGUAGGGUGCAAGCGUUAAUCGGAAUUACUGGGCGUAAAGCGUGCGCAGGCGGUUGUGCAAGACAGAGGUGAAAUCCCCGGGCUUAACCUGGGAAUGGCCUUUGUGACUGCACGGCUAGAGUGUGUCAGAGGGGGGUAGAAUUCCACGUGUAGCAGUGAAAUGCGUAGAUAUGUGGAGGAAUACCGAUGGCGAAGGCAGCCCCCUGGGAUAACACUGACGCUCAUGCACGAAAGCGUGGGGAGCAAACAGG